AAGAAAGUGGCAGAAUGGCCAUGUGACUGGCUUGAAACUAGUCUAUGGGGGUUCGAUUCCCUCCUUUCUCG
rnacentral:tRNA from 1 species